AGAGUUUGAUCCUGGCUCAGGAUGAACGCUGGCGGCGUGCUUAACACAUGCAAGUCGAACGGGGUACCCCCAAAGGAGUUUUCGGACAACUGCGGGGAAUACCUAGUGGCGGACGGGUGAGUAACGCGUGAGUAACCUGCCUUGGAGUGGGGAAUAACAGCUGGAAACAGCUGCUAAUACCGCAUAAUGCAGUUGGGUCGCAUGGCUCUGACUGCCAAAGAUUUAUCGCUCUGAGAUGGACUCGCGUCUGAUUAGCUAGUUGGUGGGGCAACGGCCCACCAAGGCGACGAUCAGUAGCCGGACUGAGAGGUUGGCCGGCCACAUUGGGACUGAGGCACGGCCCAGACUCCUACGGGAGGCAGCAGUGGGGAAUAUUGGGCAAUGGGCGCAAGCCUGACCCAGCAACGCCGCGUGAAGGAAGAAGGCUUUCGGGUUGUAAACUUCUUUUCUCAGGGACGAAGCAAGUGACGGUACCUGAGGAAUAAGCCACGGCUAACUACGUG
rnacentral:rRNA from 1 species